rnacentral:rRNA from 1 species
AUUGAACGCUGGCGGCAGGCUUAACACAUGCAAGUCGAACGAUGAACCGGAGCUUGCUCUGGGGAUUAGUGGCGAACGGGUGAGUAACACGUGGGCAACCUGCCCCAGACACCGGGAUAACCAUUCGAAAGGAUGGCUAAUACCGGAUACGACCACUUCGGGCAUCCGAUGGUGGUGGAAAGGAUUCUGGUCUGGGAUGGGCCCGCGGCCUAUCAGCUUGUUGGGGGGAUAAUGGCCUACCAAGGCGACGACGGGUGGCCGGCCUGAGAGGGCGACCGGCCACACUGGGACUGAGACACGGCCCAGACUCCUACGGGAGGCAGCAGUGGGGAAUAUUGCGCAAUGGGCGAAAGCCUGACGCAGCGACGCCGCGUGAGGGACGAAGGUCUUCGGAUUGUAAACCUCUUUCAGCAGGGAUGAAGCGAAAGUGACAGUACCUGCAGAAGAAGCACCGGCUAACUACGUGCCAGCCGCCGCAGUAA